AUGACAAGAUAUGAGCUUCCUUUUAGUUCCCUGCCUAUGAAGAGCUGCAUCCUGAUGCAAAUCAUUCUCCAGCAGAACCUAAAGGGAGAGAAAAGAGAAUCUAGAGGGUGUAUUCUAGAAGAAGCAAGAAAGUUGUGGAAGUAGGCCAGCUCAGCUUAAUUCCGUUGGAGUGAUUCUCAGGGGUAUGCGAUGCAGCAGCUAGGAAAGUUUAUAUUGAGAGAAUAGAGUUGAGUGGGGGUCAUAACUAUUUUGUGGCUUUUUUCUUCCAGCUAAUAGAUAGCUUGGGGGCAGUGUGAUUACUGCUGGGGUGGGAGAAAGAUCUUGUAUCCAAUUUCACCUGUAUUUUGAAUAUUGAUAAAAAAAAUUCCUCCAUUCUCAUUGCUGCUGCAAUACUCUGUCAUUAUCUCUGUUCCUAACUUGUUUUAGCACUUUUUGAUUCCUUACUCUUUAUCACAUCCGUUGAAGAAGAAUAUGAAGCUACUGAAGGUGAAGUUCUACUUGGUAAUGAAGAUAAUGAUGGCUGGCGGGUGAGUCAUUGGAAACCAAAAGGGAAUUUGCUAGUCUUGGGUGAUGAAGGUUUAACAGUUUUCUCAGUUGUUGAACAUGUUAUCAUGAAAGCUUCAACGAGAUACCAAGCAGCAGUAUGGUUUAAGGCAAAUGGGCCAAGGUGCAUCAGCAACUCUGCCCAAAGAUCUCUUGACUCUGCCCAAAGAUCCCUCUGAGCAAGAGUUUUGCCUCGCAUUAAGAAAUGGUGUCAUUUUCUAGAAUGUUCUCAACAAAGUCAAUCCUGGUGCUAUCCUCAAGGUAUUUUCACCUUGCAACUAUGCAUUUGUUAUGACUCAUGUUGUGACACUUCCAUUUUGGAAAUGGUCCAUUAUUGUAGCCGUAUUUUCUUUUGCCACAAUUUAAAUUGCUGGCUGAGCUCCAAUGACACCGUAGAGCCCCUGAAGCCAUUAGUAUAUCAUUAAUGAUAAUAGUAAUAAUUUUAUAUGAUGUAAGAG